rnacentral:lncRNA from 1 species
UGAAAAACCUUUGCUUAUCCAAUGAAAAUGCAUAAUCAGAUACUAUCUCAAAAGUCGAAAGCAACAAUUAUGAGUCACCUUUUUUUCUUUUAACAAGAGGAGGCUGUACAACCACAUGCAUAGUAAUAAAUCCUCCAGGAAGGUCACCAACAAGAAUUCUAGACUCAGCAAGCGUCUUCCCAUUCUCCAAAACUGUUCCAGCAUGUAUUAGUUUCAUAUCAUUCACUGACUUCGCCUUUGCUUAUCCAAUGAAAAUGCAUAAUCAGAUACUAUCUCAAAAGUCGAAAGCAACAAUUAUGAGUCACCUUUUUUUCUUUUAACAAGAGGAGGCUGUACAACCACAUGCAUAGUAAUAAAUCCUCCAGGAAGGUCACCAACAAGAAUUCUAGACUCAGCAAGCGUCUUCCCAUUCUCCAAAACUGUUCCAG